AUACGGAGGAUGCAAGCGUUAUCCGGAUUUAUUGGGUUUAAAGGGUGCGUAGGCGGUUUGCUAAGCGGGAGGUGAAAUGCCGGCGCUCAACGUCGGAAGUGCCUCCCGAACUGGUGGACUGGAAUGACUCUGCCGUGGGAGGAAUGGGUAGUGUAGCGGUGAAAUGCUUAGAGAUUACACAGAACACCGAUUGCGAAGGCAUCUCACGAAGGGUUGAUUGACGCUGAGGCACGAAAGCGUGGGGAUCAAACAGGAUUAGAUACCCUGGUAGUCCACGCAGUAAACGAUGAUGGCUAACCGCUGGUUUUUUCGGAUCAGUGGCCAAGCGAAAGCGAUAAGCCAUCCACCUGGGGAGUACGACCGCAAGGUUGAAACUCAAAUGAAUUGACGGGG
rnacentral:rRNA from 1 species